CGCGGGGCUCAGGGCUGUGGCCCUCGGGCUUCCUCCCAGCUCCCGUCUCAGGUCUGCAACAGGGGAAACAUCAUGACCACUAAGGCGGUUUUCCUAGUUGCAGGGCAAGACCACUUUCUUGGCAGGGGGCAGUGCCCCGGUAAUGCAGUUAGCCUCCCACUUUCACUUCCAGGGGGAAGAUCGUGGCUUUGCACCAACUUCAUGGAAAUGGGAGUCUUCUCCCUACUUUUCACCUUCAGCCGAUGGCUAAGGGCAAGCGAAGCUCGGGAGCAUCCAAACCCCAAACCUCCGGGCUUUGGUCUGCAUGGAGGAUGCUUGCUGAUGUGACGGGCUGGCUGGCAGUGACCUAGCCCAGGGGUUUUGAAGGGGUAGAAGAUGAUUGGAGGACUUGGGAUUCCCUUUCCUCACCAAUCAGGCCCCAGAGACUCACCCUCUGUGUCCCCUGAUUGGCCCCUUGGGUCACCUGGAGGGGGAUAAAAGGGACUCAGGAGAGACCAGUAUGAAGGAGCUUCAAGGAGCUGGUAGGAUCUGGCCCAACAGGGCGGGAGCAGUUGCCCCAGAAGCCCCUGAAGGAGCAGGACCUGCGGGCAGCAGUUGGACCCUCAGCAGCACGGCGUGUGGCCGGCAGGAGAGGUUCCUGCUGGGCUCCAGGAUCCCCUAGGAGAGGCUGUGGCCAGCAUGAGAGGCUCCCCCCGCCCCCCAGCUCAGCAAGGAUCAGAGCAGCGACCUGAGAGGUUCCCAGCUCGGCUUCCAGCUCCUCCAGUCUGAGCCCAGGCAGCUCGACGUGAGGCCGGGGCUCCAGGAAGGCCAAGACCCCUCGCAGCCUGGCCCAGCCCCAGCAGUGCUUACUGUGUGGUAGAGUUUGUGCUUCCCACCUGGCAGGUCUGAGAUCAAAUCCCAGCUGUGGGGACUUGGGUAUUGUUUGCUCUGCUGUUCGUGUUCUACGUGUCGGCUAACCCUGUCUUUUGUCAACUGGAUGAAUGUCUAUGAUGGUAAGUGUCUAACCUCUGUUGAGUCCUGCCCCCUUGGGGCACUGUAGUGUCCCCUAUACCCCCUGAUUGUGCCUGUUAUGUUCCCAGUAUUGUUCCCUCAUUAACAGGUAUAUGGUUAAGUC